rnacentral:rRNA from 1 species
UAGGGAAUCUUCGGCAAUGGACGAAAGUCUGACCGAGCAACGCCGCGUGAGUGAAGAAGGUUUUCGGAUCGUAAAACUCUGUUGUUCGAGAAGAACAAGGACGUUAGUAACUGAACGUCCCCUGACGGUAUCUAACCAGAAAGCCACGGCUAACUACGUGCCAGCAGCCGCGGUAAUACGUAGGUGGCAAGCGUUGUCCGGAUUUAUUGGGCGUAAAGCGUGCGCAGGCGGUUUCUUAAGUCUGAUGUGAAAGCCCCCGGCUCAACCGGGGAGGGUCAUUGGAAACUGGGAGACUAGAGUGCAGAAGAGGAGAGUGGAAUUCCAUGUGUAGCGGUGAAAUGCGUAGAUAUAUGGAGGAACACCAGUGGCGAAGGCGGCUCUCUGGUCUGUAACUGACGCUGAGGCACGAAAGCGUGGGGAGCAAACAGG